rnacentral:lncRNA from 1 species
UACUCUUUCACAUCAUCUUCCAUGUGAGGCCAAUAAUAGCCCUGUUUUAGCAAAGCUAGCGUGCGCCGCCAACCAGGAUGUCCAGCCCAUAGCGUAUCGUGGCAUUCUUUUAAUAGUAGUCUUCUGAUGUUCCCUCCCUUUGGGACAUAUACUCGACUUCCUCUUGUCAAAAUUAGAUCAUUGUCUAUCCAAAAUUGGCGAGUCUUCCCUUCUUGAGCUAGAUUCCACAAGCCUAGUGCUUGAGGGUCCCUCUUCAAAUUUCCUCAAAUCUAAUCACCCACUGAGUUUUCCACUCGGCUUUGAGACAACUGAGCAAUUCGGCUAAGAGUGAGAACUUCUGACUUUCUGCUUAAUGAGUUGAUAAGACAAAAAGUCAAGGAUGUUGAUGCAGCCAUUGUAGCAGCCGAAAGCCUAAAUGACUACUCCUCUCCAGCGAAAAAAAAUUUUAAUUCCCCUAUUUCCCAGGAUAGCCGACCUAACAAGUGGAAUAAGUCACAAAGGGAGGAGUGACUAGUUGGCCACCAGUGGGGACUGGCCCAGCUGGUCACCGUAGGCCUAUCGAGUCCCUGUGCUGUGCCUCCACCCUUGUAGGCAUUCCCCCUUGUCUGCAAGUGGUGUGAGGAUCAUUGUAUUGAAUUGCGUAAUGAUUAUUUUACCCCUGAAAUGAAAUGAGUAGCCCUUUUAUCAAAAUAUCGGUGCCUACAUGUGAUACCUUGGUUGCUUAUGCUAUUAUGCUUGUUGGGUGUUAAUAUAUGCUUGACAUGUUUUAUCUUGCACGCUUUAACAGCAUUCUAGCCUCUUUGCUAACCGACGUGCUUCGUUGUGCAGACCAACGUGUAGAUACAUCGGCUGACUUGCCUUGAUAGCAUUCAAGUCGAGUGCCACACGGUCCCAAUUAAGUGCCAAAGCCUGGGCCCGUGACAUUUGCUAGCCAGGUGGCAGGAGUGCUUACCGGAAUUUGAUUUCCAGUUCGAAUAUAAACCUGGGAGUUCCAAUAGAGUUGCAAAUGCAUUAAGCAGAAAGUCAAAAGUUCUCACUCUUAGCCGAAUUGCUCAGUUGUCUCAAAGCCGAGUGGAGAACUCAGUGGGUGAUCAGAUUCAAGGAAAUUUGAAGAGGGACCCUCAAGCACUAGGCUUGUGGAAUCUAGCUCAAGAAGGGAAGACUCGCCAAUUUUGGAUAGACAAUGAUUUAAUUUUAAAGAGGAAAAGUCGAGUAUAUGUCCCAAAGGGAGGGAACAUCAGAAGACUACUAUUAAAAGAAUGCCACGAUACGCUAUGGGCUGGACAUCCUGGUUGGCGGCGCACGCUAGCUUUGCUAAAACAGGGCAAUUAUUGGCCUCACAUGGAAGAUGAUGUGAAAGAGUACACAAAGACGUGCUUGGUGUGCCAACAGGACAAAGUGGAUAGACAAAAACCGGCAAGUCUUUUGCAACCUCUACCAAUUCCAAGCAGACCUUGGGAGAGCAUUUCCUUGAAUUUCAUUGCGGGCCUACGAAAAGUGGGGGAGUAUGAUCACAUCUUAGUAGUUGUAGAUCAGUUUUCCAAGUAUGCCACCUUCAUACCAAUGUCGAGAUAUUGUUCAGCUGAAGAAACAGCCAGAGCUUUCUUUAAACAUGUGGUGAAGUAUUGGGGUGUUCCUAAAAGCAUUAUCAGUGAUAGAGAUGGGCGGUUCACAGGUACCUUUUGGUCGGAGUUAUUUAACAUCUUAGGCACCAAGCUAAAUGUAUCGACAAGCCUUCAUCCUCAGACCGAUGGACAGACAGAGCGAUUCAAUGGGUUGCUAAAGGAGUACUUGCGACACUUUGUCUGCAGCAACCAAAAGAACUGGGCCUCGUUACUUGAUGUUGCACAGUUUUGUUUUAAUUCCUUAAAGAGCUCUACCACUAACAAAAGUCCAUUUGAGAUUGUUACAGGUCAACAACCACUGGCACCUCAUACUCUCGAUGUGCCAUACACAAGGAGGAACCCCAAGGCAUAUCAAUUUACGAAGGAGAGGAAGCCAAAUGCAGAUAUUGCACGAGCUCAACUAGAGAAGGCAUCCAAGCAUAUGAAGAAGAUGGUUGAUGAGCAUCGAAGACCUCAAGAGUUUGCAGUGGGAGACUUAGUGAUGGUCAAGCUGCUACCAGAACAACUGCGAUUCCUCUGCAACCGAGAUCGAAGAUUGGUGCGCAAAUAUGAAGGGCCAAUUCCAAUUAUUGCCAAAGUGGGACCUGUUGCAUAUAAAGUUGAGCCACCGCAAUGGAUGAAGAUCCACCCAGUACUUCACGUGAGCAGACUUAAGCCAUACCAUGCAGAUGUGACAGACGACACCAGAAACAAACCCUCAAGACCAGCCGUUUCACGAGCAGCACUAGUGCAUCAAGGCAUUGAAGAAAUUUUAGCUGAACAAGUUAUCAAGACCACCAAAAGCCCUUCUUACAAAGAAUACCUUGUCAAAUGGAAAGGCAUCAACAUCGAAGAAACCAAUUGGGAGAAAGAGUCAAGCCUCCAACAAGAUUCCCAGAAGAUUGAAGAGUUUCAUCAAACUCAGUCGACGAGGACGUCGACCGUUUAAGUGGGGGAGAUUGUUAGGGUUCUAGAAUCUUAGAGGGACUAAAAUGUAAUUUUCCCAACAUGGGAUUUUUCAGAAACAAGAUGGGUAUAAAUUAGUAUAAAAUAGUAGUAUCAAAAGUGUUAUGUCAAUUUCUUGUAAUUCAUUCUCAUGUAUUUAUUAAGGGGGGUGUCACCACAGACAUAUUGAUGUCUCCUCCUGCCACAGCUCAACUUGUCCUUAAGGCUCUUUGGGGGGAGUGACUAGCUGGCCACCAGUGGGGACUAGGCCCAGCUGGUCACCGUAGGCCUAUCGAGUCCCUGUGCUGUGCCUCCACCCUUGUAGGCGUUCCCUCCUGUCUGCAAGUAGUGUGAGGAUCAUUGUAUUGAAUUGUGUAAUGAUUAUUUUGCCCCUGAAAUGAAAUGAGUAGCCCUUUUAUCAAAAUAUUGGUGCCUACAUGUGAUACCUUCGUUGCUUAUGCUAUUAUGCUUGUUGGGUGUUAAUAUCUGCUUGACAUCUUUUAUCUUGCUCGCUUUAACAGCAUUCUAGCCUCUUUGCUAACCAACGUGCUUCGUUGUGUAGACCAACGUGUAGAUACAUCGGCUGACUUGCCUUGAUAGAGUUCAAGUCGAGUGCCACACGGUCCCAAUUGAGUGCCAAAGCUUGGGCCCGUUACAUUUGGUAUCAAAGCUCGAACGAUCUACGAGCAGUGUGAAAGUAUGACGAAGUCGGCAACCCGCAUUGAUGCCCUUGAGAGAAGGGUUGAUGAUCUUGCUGCGUUGUCUAAUACAUAUGCCACCCAAGAGGGGAUGUCACUGGAAUUUGAUAAUGUUUACCAGCGCAUGGCGCUGCUAGAAGAGAAAAAUGAACAACUUUUGACUGUGAUAGCCAAGUUGUCUAGAAGCGAAGGGGAGCCCACGGUGGUGGAGCCAACCCAAAAUUCCCCUGUUGGGAAUGACACCCGGUGGGGUGAUC